rnacentral:rRNA from 1 species
UCUGUAGGUGGCCAACUAAGUCAGACGUGAAAUCCUUCAGCUUAACUGGGGAACUGCGUCUGAGACUGGAUGGCUUGAGUGCAGGAGAGGAACGCGGAAUUCCAGGUGUAGCGGUGAAAUGCGUAGAUAUCUGGAGGAACACCGGUGGCGAAGGCGGCGUUCUGGACUGCUACUGACACUGAGAGACGAAAGCCAGGGGAGCAAACG